rnacentral:misc_RNA from 1 species
AACCUUAUGGACCUGCGGGCGUAUACCUGCGGAAGGAUCAUUAACCUUUCAAAAAACAGGGUGCGUCGCGGCCCCCCUCCGGGGGCGGUUUGGGGUCCUCCCCUUCACGCGCGCACGACUGCAUCCUUACUUUACGAGCACCUUCUGUUCUCCCUCGGCGGGGCAACCUGCCGUCGGAACCGAAUAAACCCUUUUUUGCAUCCAGCAUUACCCGUUCCGAAACAAACAAUCGUUACAACU